GACGAACGCUGGCGGCGUGCUUAACACAUGCAAGUCGAACGGAAAGGCCCUGCUUUUGUGGGGUGCUCGAGUGGCGAACGGGUGAGUAGCACGUGAGUAACCUGCCCUUGACUUUGGGAUAACUUCAGGAAACUGGGGCUAAUACCGGAUAGGAGCUCCUGCUGCAUGGUGGGGGUUGGAAAGUUUCGGCGGUUGGGGAUGGACUCGCGGCUUAUCAGCUUGUUGGUGGGGUAGUGGCUUACCAAGGCUUUGACGGGUAGCCGGCCUGAGAGGGUGACCGGCCACAUUGGGACUGAGAUACGGCCCAGACUCCUACGGGAGGCAGCAGUGGGGAAUAUUGCACAAUGGGCGGAAGCCUGAUGCAGCAACGCCGCGUGCGGGAUGACGGCCUUCGGGUUGUAAACCGCUUUCGCCUGUGACGAAGCGUGAGUGACGGUAAUGGGUAAAGAAGCACCGGCUAACUACG
rnacentral:rRNA from 1 species